GUCAGCCCCCGUCUAAGUGCCCUGGAACGGGCCGUCGGAGAGGGUGAGAAUCCCGUCUGGGACGGGGUGCCUGGGUCCAUGUGAAGCUCCUUCGACGAGUCGAGUUGUUUGGGAAUGCAGCUCUAAAUGGGUGGUAAAUUUCAUCUAAAGCUAAAUACUGGCCGGAGACCGAUAGCGCACAAGUAGAGUGAUCGAAAGAUGAAAAGCACUUUGAAAAGAGAGUUAAACAGCACGUGAAAUUGUUGAAAGGGAAGCGCUUGCGAUCAGACUCGCCUGCGGGGUUCAGCCGGCAUUCGUGCCGGUGUACUUCCCCGUGGGCGGGCCAGCGUCGGUUCGGGUGGCCGGUCAAAGGCCCCGGGAAUGUGUCGCCCUCCGGGGCGUCUUAUAGCCCGGGGUGCCAUGCGGCCUACCUGGACCGAGGAACGCGCUUCGGCUCGGACGCUGGCGUAAUGGUCGUAAGCGACCCGUCUUGAAACACGGACCAAGGAGUCUAACAUCUACGCGAGUGUUUGGGUGGCAAACCCAUACGCGCAGUGAAAGCGAACGGAGGUGGGAACCCUUCGGGGCGCACCAUCGACCGAUCCUGAUGUCUUCGGAUGGAUUUGAGUAAGAGCGUAGCUGUGGGGACCCGAAAGAUGGUGAACUAUGCCUGAAUAGGGCGAAGCCAGAGGAAACUCUGGUGGAGGCUCGCAGCGGUUCUGACGUGCAAAUCGAUCGUCAAAUUUGGGUAUAGGGGCGAAAGACUAAUCGAACCAUCC
rnacentral:misc_RNA from 1 species